UUGGUUAAGUUAGAAAGGGCGCACGGUGGAUGCCUUGGCACUAGGAGCCGAAGAAGGACGGGACUAACACCGAUAUGCUUUGGGGAGCUGUACGUAAGCGUUGAUCCAGAGAUUUCCGAAUGGGGGAACCCACUAUCUUUAGUCGGAUAGUAUCCUUACGUGAAUACAUAGCGUGAGGAAGGCAGACCCAGGGAACUGAAACAUCUAAGUACCUGGAGGAAGAGAAAGAAAAAUCGAUUUCCUGAGUAGCGGCGAGCGAAACGGAAAGAGCCCAAACCAAGAAGCUUGCUUCUUGGGGUUGUAGGACACUCUAUACGGAGUUACAAAAGAAAGUUAUAAAUGAAGCGGUCUGGAAAGGCCCGCCAAAGACGGUAACAGCCCGGUAGUUGAAAUGGCUUUCCCUCCAGAGUGGAUCCUGAGUACGGCGGAACACGUGAAAUUCCGUCGGAAUCCGGGAGGACCAUCUCCCAAGGCUAAAUACUCCCUAGUGACCGAUAGUGAACCAGUACCGUGAGGGAAAGGUGAAAAGCACCCCGGAAGGGGAGUGAAACAGUUCCUGAAACCGUGUGCCUACAAGUAGUUAGAGCCCGUUAAUGGGUGAUAGCGUGCCUUUUGUAGAAUGAACCGGCGAGUUACGAUUUGUUGCAAGGUUAAGCGGAAAAAGCGGAGCCGUAGCGAAAGCGAGUCUGAAUAGGGCGCAUAAGUAACAGGUCGUAGACCCGAAACCAGGUGAUCUACCCAUGUCCAGGAUGAAGGUAAGGUAAUACUUACUGGAGGUCCGAACCCACGCACGUUGAAAAGUGCGGGGAUGAGGUGUGGGUAGCGGAGAAAUUCCAAUCGAACUUGGAGAUAGCUGGUUCUCUCCGAAAUAGCUUUAGGGCUAGCCUCGAGGUAAAGAGUCAUGGAGGUAGAGCACUGUUUGGACUAGGGGCCCUUCUCGGGUUACCGAAUUCAGAUAAACUCCGAAUGCCAUGUACUUAUACUCGGGAGUCAGACUGCGAGUGAUAAGAUCCGUAGUCGAAAGGGAAACAGCCCAGACCACCAGUUAAGGUCCCCAAAUAUAUGUUAAGUGGAAAAGGAUGUGGGGUUGCUUAGACAACCAGGAUGUUGGCUUAGAAGCAGCCACCAUUGAAAGAGUGCGUAAUAGCUCACUGGUCGAGUGACCCCGCGCCGAAAAUGUACCGGGGCUAAACAUAUUACCGAAACUGUGGAUGAACCUCU
rnacentral:rRNA from 1 species